GUCUCCACGAGUAUGUUGUCACUAUCUACCAUUUUUCCUCUUUCCCAAUCAUUUCCAUUUCCAAUAACAAAACUGUAAAAACAAAAACAAAAAUACCAGACAGGGAAAAGAAAGAAGAUGACAUUGGGGACGACAACACAAGCAUCGUACACACAAGAUCCAGGACCAUUUGAUUGGUACCAAAAAUAUCCAGCUUUAUCUCCUCUUCUUCAUCUCUAUGUACCUCUACAUAAUCGUGUUCUUGUCAUUGGAUGUAGUAAUGCAGCUAUCAGUGAAGACAUGGCUAAUGAUGGGUUUGAGGAUAUUGUAAACAUCGAUAUUUCGUCGGUGGUGAUUGAAGCUAUGCAAACAAAGUAUCAAGACAUUCCUGCUCUCAAAUAUAUUCAAAUGGAUGUUCGAGAUAUGAGUGGUUUUGAAUCAGGGUCUUUUGAUGCUGUUCUAGAUAAAGGAACUCCGGACUCUAUUAUGUGUGGCCAUAAUUCGCUAGAAAAUGCGUCUAAAAUGCUAGAGGAGUUAAUGCCACUGUCAGGGUCCUCAAGGGUAAUGGAGUGUACAUUCUGGUACGAAAACCUUGAUCUUUGUUCUUUCGCUCUUUCACACCUGGAGUAUACUUGUCAGAAGUUUCAUUUGUACAUCCUGACUUGGUUCUAUAAAUGCAGAUUACAUAUGGAGCUCCAGCUUACCGGCUACCUAUGUUGAAAAAACUGUCCUUGUGGACAAUAAAGUUACAUGUUGUAGAGAAGCCCAUGGCUGAUGGAAAUGCAGAGCAGAUAAAAUGGGAGUUAACAAAUCCUGUAUCCUUGGACGAGACAGGUAGUUCAGUUGAGACAGCUCUCGGAAGGACUCCAGAAGUCCAUUUUAUUUAUGUCUGUACCAAGGAUGAGUCCUUACAAUCUUCGAGUUCGAAGCAGGAGAUCGAGUUUUGAAGGAAAAAGUAAUAAGGAGAUUACCUCCAAAAUUUUGUUUGAAAUUUAUAUCCACUAGUAUGUUUCUUGGAUUCAAUUUGUUGAGAUUUAUCAGUAAAUAAUGGGUCACUGUCAUUUCUCUCAA